rnacentral:rRNA from 1 species
GACGACCGCUGGCGGCGUGCUUAACACAUGCAAGUCGAACGAAGUGGCGAACGGGUGAGUAACGCGUAAUCAACCUGCCCUUCAGAGGGGGACAACAGUUGGAAACGACUGCUAAUACAGCAUACUGAAGGAGGGGAUGGCGUCUGAUUAGCUAGUUGGAGGGGUAACGGCCCACCAGGGCGCGGAUCAGUAGCCGGUCGGAGAGGAUGAACGGCAACAUUGGGACUGUGACACGGCCCAGACUCCUAAGGGAGGCCGCAGGGGGGAAUCUUCCGCAAUGGACGAAAGUCUGACGGAGCAACUCCGCGUGAGUGAUGACGGCCUUCGGGUGUUAAAGCUCUGUUAAGCGGUACGCGGUACCGGAAUAGAAAGCCACGGCUAACUACGUGCCAGCAGCCGCGGUAAUAC